rnacentral:rRNA from 1 species
UACGUAGGGUGCAGGCGUUGUCCGGAAUCAUUGGGCGUAAAGCGCGUGUAGGCGGUUCGGUAAGUCUGCUGUGAAAGUCCAGGGCUCAACCCUGGGAUGCCGGUGGAUACUGUCGGACUAGAGUACGGAAGAGGCGAGUGGAAUUCCCGGUGUAGCGGUGAAAUGCGCAGAUAUCGGGAGGAACACCAAUUGCGAAGGCAGCUCGCUGGGACGUUACUGACGCUGAGACGCGAAAGCGUGGGGAGCAAACAGG